AUCCAGCUGACGAGUCCCCAAAGAGAGACGAAACGAGCGUCAAUCUGGAU
rnacentral:hammerhead_ribozyme from 1 species